GACGAACGCUGGCGGCGUGCUUAACACAUGCAAGUCGAACGGAAAGGCCCUGCUUUUGUGGGGUGCUCGAGUGGCGAACGGGUGAGUAACACGUGAGUAACCUGCCCUUGACUUUGGGAUAACUUCAGGAAACUGGGGCUAAUACCGGAUAGGAGCUCCUGCUGCAUGGUGGGGGUUGGAAAGUUUCGGCGGUUGGGGAUGGACUCGCGGCUUAUCAGCUUGUUGGUUGGGUAGUGGCUUACCAAGGCUUUGACGGGUAGCCGACCUGAGAGGGUGAACGGCCACAUUGGGACUGCGAUACGGAGCAGACUCCUACGGGAGGCAGCAGUGGGGAAUAUUGCACAAUGGGCGGAAGCCUGAUGCAGCAACGCCGCGUGCGGGAUGACGGCCUUCGGGUUGUAAACCGCUUUCGCCUGUGACGAAGCGUGAGUGACGGUAAUGGGUAAAGAAGCACCGGCUAACUACGUG
rnacentral:rRNA from 1 species